AAGGUGCUUAGACAAGCGCUUCUGAAAGCUGAGCCAACGACCAUCAUUCAAAUAGGAAGCUAUGUCUACCAUACUCUCUUUAUUGACGGAAUCACUUAUUUGUGUGCUACAGACAAUGGCUUGGAUAUUAUGGCACCAUCUGCAUUUCUUAAAAAAGUUAGUGAUAUUUUUACAAGAAUUCCUUUGAUGUCACAAGAACAUUUUUUUCCUUCAAAUGCACUUGCUACAGAUUUUCAACAAAUACUAGCACAGCACAUGUCUGUACCUAUGAACGCACAUGAAUGCAAUGUCCAUGGAGACCAGAAGAGGGCACUGGAUCCCAUGAUCUGGAAUGUGAGGCAGUUGGGAGCUGCCCAGUGUAGAUGCUGGGAUCAGAGCAGAGGUCUUCUACAGCAGCAACAAGCACUAACCCAACAACUGGGCCAUCUCUCCAGACCCCCCCAUUUCUUUUACUUGGAACAAAUCACAAAUGUCUUUGUCACCAUUGCUCAGGGGGAAAUGCUGAUCUCCGUAUCAUUCCAGUUUAGUGUGUGCUGCCAAAGCAGAUGUCUCGGUGGUCCUUCCUAAGUUUAAAGAAGAGACCAUCAGCCGGCGUGGUGGCGCA
ensembl:lincRNA